rnacentral:lncRNA from 1 species
AAAUGUGGAGAACACUCAGGGGGAGGUGGAAGAGAGAAAGCAGUGAACAGAUUCAUCUUCCCUUCUAUAUCUGAAAGGAUAAGCAGGCUGUGCUUUCCAGAAAUGCGUGACCUAUCCAAUCCUUCCUCUCAUGGAAACACCAACUCAUCCAUGCCCUCUGUGCUGAAACUUCGUCUCAGCCUGCUGGAAUCACCUGCACCCCAUGGGAACUGUAGCCAUAUCUUCAGUCCUGUGAGCCCCCGUCAUGGCCUGUCACAGGAGUAAAUGAGGAGUAAGGCCCAGAAUACUCAGUACCUCUCAAUGACCCUCAGACGCUGUAGGAAGAGGAUUGGUUCACCUUUUAACCCAGAAUUUCUCACAUUGAAUGGACAGGAUGCAUUCCAAGAGGCCAGAGUAUGUGCAUCUCAGCUCCUGAUGGUUUCCACCACCACCAUUACUUUCUCUAUGUCAAGAUACCUGGGAAGCCGGAGUUGUUUUAAGGCAGAGUAUCAUAUCGCAUCAAAACCGCUCCAUAAGUCCUGCCACUCCACGUGCAAUGCCAUGAACUUGAAGAAACUGCUGGUUAGAAGAAUCUUGGUCGUCCAGAAAGCUUGCUAUAGCUGCCCAGCAUUUGCCUCCUCCACAAAGAAGGACCAAAAGAACAAGUAGACAAUCACAUGCCAAAUAAAAUGUCUAAAGGAGAGCACUGAAGCUCAGCAAAAACGUUACAAAGACCCUCUGAGGUGCAGAAACUCGGGAUGGCAGCACAAAGAGGAAAGCAAAGCAGCCGGUCAGGAUCAGCUCACAGUCAAGGGCGCCCCGCCUUGAGUAGGAAAUGUAAGCAGGAGAUGCCCUGCAGGCAACAUUCCCACCACAAAUGCCUGCAAGCCUAGCUGUAGGAGAGCCUCGCAGUGUUGAGCCCAGUGCGGGAGCUGCCUGGAGUCUCUGUGACUACAUUACUCCAGAGAGGCCACUGGGUCCCUCCUUAGUCCCUGGGACCCAAGCCGCUGCAGCACAGUAUCAUUUUGAGGACAGAGCCACUGCCAGAAUGCUUCCUGUCCUGGGGCCCGGUAACCCCUGCAUGUCCUCAUCACUGGAGCCCCAAUAUCAUUCCACAGUUGUAUGAGGAGUAAAAAUAACUAUAAAUAAAGAUAACUCAAGAAUUCUAUAAGCAAGCAUACACAUGAAAUUCAUUUUAUAAGAGGAAAGCUAACUCCAUCUCUCUUGAAAUAUGGAAUAGGUUCUUGAAGCAAUUCUAAAUGCUGAUCUGCUGGAAUGAUGGCUUCAUUGCACAAGAAUUCUGCUUAGUUCAUUGAAGUCUCCUUGAAGAAGUCAGUCUGAGAAUGGGGGAAUUCCGUUGUUGGUCAGAAGAAUUCUUUGGUCACUAUUGGAAGUGGGUUCAGUUUAGGGUGACUAUUGAUCAACAGGGUUCAUGGGUUUGCUAAAACUCAUUUCAGGCAAGCUUUGGAAGUGCAGUUCGCUUGGUGCUUAUGGGGUUAAAAACAGGAGGAAGAGAAUUUCACAUUAUUGGAGGGCCUGAAAGGAAACUGAUUCCCGCAAGAUGCUCAGACAAGAUCAAACCCAGCCCCUUUUCUGGUUUGGAAUUUCUCUGGGCUAUAAAGGUAGAAGAAAAGGCCCUGCAUGGGCCCACUCUAAGUGCUUGGAGGUUUUAGAUAAUUUUAUUAAAUUGUAGAAUCUUAAACAGAACUACAAGGUUGCUUUUAAAACCAGAUCUCAGAUUUCUUUGAGCUAACAAAUGGUAAAAUGUAUCUUUAGUAUUAGAGUGAGAUAAAGGUAGUUAUAACUUUUUUUUUUACUUAUUUUAUGUUAACGUAUGCAACAAAGGGUACAAAUUGUAGGUACGCAGCUCAUUGAACUUUUAUGUCUGCACAUGCCUAUGAAACCAACACCCAGAGUAAGAUGCGGAUAAUUUUCUGCUCCCCUGAAAAUUCCCUUGUGCCUUUUCCUCAUCAGUACCUCCAAAGGUAACCACUAUUUUGAUUUCCAUUACCAUAGAUGAGUUAUACUUGUUUUUGAAAAGAUUAUUUGAAAUGUGUAAUAUAAAUAAUAGCGGUUGCUUAUCUUACAGAAAUAUCACUGAGAAUUCAUUUCUUCUCUCCUUCAUUUAUUCAUUUGUUCAAAACACUGUCUAGUACCAACAUUGUCCACCGGGCGUUGAGAAUACAAUAUUGAAGAAGAGUCACUGCCUGCCCUCUGGAAAAAUCAGAGUAUUUGAAAGAAUACACACAAGUAAACAGGCAGCUAUGGCAAAGUGGGUAAAAGCUGCAAAACAGGGAAGUUUCGCCAAGUGUCAGAUGCCAAGAAGUGUCAGAUGCCAAGAAGAAAGGGUGCAUGACAUAGACUUGGGGGGGUCAGUAGUGGUUUCUGGAACGAGUGACAUUUAGACUGAAACUGGAAGGAUAUGAGUAAGGGCUAAUCGGACCAAGAUGAAGAGAUACAGAAGCAGAAGGAACAGUAGGAACAAAUGCUCAGAGGCAAAAGAAAGCUUUGAAUAUUUGAGGAACUGAAAAGCAAAACAACAAAAAAUAGCCAUCCCUUGACUAGACAAGUGACCUGGGGUCAGAUCCUGAAGGGCUUUGCAGAUCACUUUUCCGCUUGUAGACUUUGUACUUGACUUUAAGGGCCAUGGAGAGCCACUGAAGCAUUUUCAGCAAGGGACUGUCAUCAGCAGAUUGGUAUUUGUUUUGAAGUAGCACAUGUAAGAGAAAAUAACAAUAUGGACAAAUAAAGAGUUUGAAAAACAACUUUGCUUUGAUACUUUAGGAUGAAAUAUCUGAGAUAGCAGCGCCCCCCCCCCCAUCAGCCAUUUUUAAUGACACUACUAUUUGAGCACAAGUUGCAAGAAAAUUUGCAACAAAUAGGCUUUUUCUGUAGAACACAAAGCAGGGAUGUUUGAACGAUGCAUUAUUUGAAUUCCAUCUUAGUAGGAAGCCAUCCAUAAUAGGAGGAAGUUGAGGAAUAGGCCUAAUGUUCACAGUGGCACAGGUGGCGUUUGCAUCUGCCUUCAAUGUUCCUAUGAUACGAAUCCUCCACUGCAGAAAAUUCCUCGUGGAAUUUUCUAUUUUAUGUGUUAAACUUUAUCGAAAUCUUUUCCUGAUGUUUAUAUUUCUGUGAUAAUCAUUAUUAAACUGAAAAAUGCGGAA